AGAUGUCAUCUGGAAGAUGUUCUCUGGCAUCCAAGGAUGUGGUUCAUUUCUAACAUGAAGCAGAAUGUGAAAUAAGCCUACAAGCAAUACAAGAAAUGCGCUACUUUAGAAAAUAAUGUGAAUACCUGAGAUCCAUUCAAACCAGUCCAGGUGUGAGUGUGGAAUGCAGGCUCUCAGUAUUGCCUUAGGGGGUGUUGGAGGAAAUGAAGUGAGGAGCAGCUGCAGCACACCGUGGGCAACAGGCCCAUGCCAAGCUGAGGGCCUGGUCCAAGGGCUGGUGCAACCUCUGGAAAAGGAGCACAUGGAUGUGAAGCGUGGAAGUGGUUCAUUGCUUUCCUGUUCCUGCUUGGUGCUGGUGCAGAGGGUGUUGAAACUCAUGGCAGACACAGAGUCUGAAUACACUGCGUGGUGUGGGCUGGAAGUGUGCAGUGCAGGAAGUUUGUCCAGGCCAAGCUGUCAAAUGGUGGUCAGUGCUAAGGUUGGUGAGAGGACGUGGUUCUUCCAGCUGCCAGAAAUCAAAUAGGGUCUUUAAAAUGUCUUUAAUAGGAUGAAGAGGAAUGAACAAAUGGCAGCUAACCAGAAAUAGUGCAUUUUAUCAUAUUCCAGGUUGUCUGAGCCAUGCUUGCAAUUAACACUCCUGUGGCUUAGCAGCUUGUUGCUCCUCUUGCUCCCCCAGAUUCCUCAGCAUGUCCAUUUCUGGUCACAGUGUGCUCCCUGGGCAUGCCAGCUCUGACAUUUCCCUUUUCUGCUCCCAGCUGGCUUCUUACCAGACCUGCUGUGUGCAUACACAUGCUGGGGCAGCGACAGCAGUGGUGCUGCUGCUUUGACAUGGCUAAUGCCAGUCUAGAAAUCAAAAAUGUGCCUGAUUGUCUGCAGGGCUAAAGAAGUAUUUGUUAACCAGUACAGUCCUGCUUCACUGCAAAGCCACGUCCAUUGCUAACAGACUGAAAAACUGCCCUACUUGGGGAAUUCUAUUCGGAGCCUGCUGCUCUUGCUUUCUUACUUAUUUUGUAGAAUCAUAGAAUGAAUGGUUUGGGUUGGAAGAGACCUUU